rnacentral:rRNA from 1 species
GAUGAACGCUGGCGGCGUGCCUAAUACAUGCAAGUCGAGCGAACAGACGAGGAGCUUGCUCCUCUGACGUUAGCGGCGGACGGGUGAGUAACACGUGGAUAAACUACCUAUAAGACUGGGAUAACUUCGGGAAACCGGAGCUAAUACCGGAUAAUAUAUUGAACCGCAUGGUUCAAUAGUGAAAGACGGUUUUGCUGUCACUUAUAGAUGGAUCCGCGCCGCAUUAGCUAGUUGGUAAGGUAACGGCUUACCAAGGCAACGAUGCGUAGCCGACCUGAGAGGGUGAUCGGCCACACUGGAACUGAGACACGGUCCAGAAUCCUACGGGAGGCAGCAGUAGGGAAUCUUCCGCAAUGGGCGAAAGCCUGACGGAGCAACGCCGCGUGAGUGAUGAAGGUCUUCGGAUCGUAAAACUCUGUUAUUAGGGAAGAACAAAUGUGUAAGUAACUAUGCACGUCUUGACGGUACCUAAUCAGAAAGCCACGGCUAACUACGUG